CUCUUUAGAGUAUUCAGCUAUCGAAAAAGUAUACAUCACCAUCAAAGUUAUGUAAAAGAGAAAGUCAAAAUAAAGUAAUUAGCUCUUCAAUUAUUAUAUUUAGUUUAAGACUUGCAAGUAAUUUAGCCUAUAUAAACCCCUGGUCAUGAAGAGACAAAGGUUGCAAAACUGUGCAUCUAGUGCAGUUACACUUAUACCAAUUAUUGGCCUGAUAGACAUUUAUAUCUUAUACUACGAUAUAAUUUUGCUCAUAUGUACGUACUAUGCCAUGCAUUCUCCCUAAUACUCAAAUUGACAAUCAUAUCACUGCUAAUGAUUACGCCAAUUUAAUGUACAAUCAAAUUGUUCGGAACAAACUGCUAAACACAAUAUAUAAUCUCACAGCCCAUUAUAAGAUGAUUUAUGUGGUUUUCUUUUUUUUAAUUUGUUGAAUAUGUUUAUGCCCCACCUACGAUAGUAGAGGGGCAUUUUUUUUCCUGGUCUGUGCGUCCGUUCGUUCGUCCGUUCGUCCCGCUUUAGGUUAAAGUUUUUGGUCAAGGUAGUUUUUGAUGAAGUUGAAGUCCAAUCAACUUGAAACUCAGUACACAUGUGCCCUAUGAUAUGAUCUUUCUAAUUUUAAUGCCAAAUUAGUUUUUUGUUCCCAAUUUCACGGUUCACCG
rnacentral:lncRNA from 1 species